rnacentral:tRNA from 1 species
GCCCCUAUCGUCUAGAGGUUAGGACGGCACCCUUUCAAGGUGCAGACAGGGGUUCAAUUCCCCUUGGGGGCACCA